rnacentral:piRNA from 1 species
UAAAUUACUUGAAGAAUCGAGAUGAUGUU